rnacentral:rRNA from 1 species
GGAGGGAGCGAGCGUUGUUCGGAAUCACUGGGCGUAAAGGGCGCGUAGGCGGCCGAGUAAGUCGUGUGUGAAAGGGCCGGGGGGCUCAACUCCGUGUACUGCAUGCGAUACUGCUCGGCUAGAGAAAGGUAGAGGCGAGUGGAAUUCCCGGUGUAGCGGUGGAAUGCGUAGAUAUCGGGAAGAACACCUGUGGCGAAGGCGGCUCGCUGGGCCUUUUCUGACGCUGAAGUGCGAAAGCGUGGGGAGCAAACAGGAUUAGAUACCCUGGUAGUCCACGCCGUAAACGAUGGGCACUAGGCGUUGGGAGGAUUGACCCUCUCAGUGCCGUAGCUAACGCGUUAAGUGCCCCGCCUGGGGAGUACGGCCGCAAGGCUG